rnacentral:rRNA from 1 species
UACGUAGGGUGCAGGCGUUAAUCGGAAUUACUGGGCGUAAAGCGUGCGCAGGCGGUCUGCUAAGACAGGUGUGAAAUCCCCGGGCUUAACCUGGGAACUGCGCUUGUUACUGGCAGGCUGGAGUGUGGCAGAGGGGGGUGGAAUUCCACGUGCAGCAGUGAAAUGCGUAGAGAUGUGGAGGAACACCGAUGGCGAAGGCAGCCCCCUGGGCUAACACUGACGCUCAUGCACGAAAGCGUGGGGAGCAAACAGG